rnacentral:rRNA from 1 species
GACGAACGCUGGCGGCGCGCUUAAUACAUGCAAGUCGAACGAGAAGCCAGAGCUUGCUCUGGUGGAAAGUGGCGAACGGGUGAGUAACACGUGAGAAACCUGCCCCAAAGAUUGGGAUAAGCCUUGGAAACGAGGUCUAAUACCAAAUACCUUCCUUUUAACACAUGUUAAAAAGAAGAAAUGCUCCGGCGCUUUGGGAUGGUCUCGCGAUCUAUCAGCUUGUUGGUGAGGUAACGGCUCACCAAGGCAUCGACGGAUAGCUGGUCUGAGAGGAUGUCCAGCCACAUUGGAACUGAGACACGGUCCAAACUCCUACGGGAGGCAGCAGUAGGGAAUCUUGCACAAUGAGGGAAACCUUGAUGCAGCGACGCCGCGUGCGGGACGAAGGCCCUAGGGUUGUAAACCGCUUUCAGUAGGGACGAAAGUGACGGUACCUACAGAAGAAGCCCCGGCCAACUAUGUGCCAGCAGCCGCGGUAA